AUUGAACGCUGGCGGCAUGCUUUACACAUGCAAGUCGAACGGUAACAGGCCGCAAGGUGCUGACGAGUGGCGAACGGGUGAGUAAUGCAUCGGAACGUGCCCAGUCGUGGGGGACAACGCAGCGAAAGCUGCGCUGAUACCGCAUACGAUCUAUGGAUGAAAGCGGGGGACCGUAAGGCCUCGCGCGAUUGGAGCGGCCGAUGUCAGAUUAGGUAGUUGGUGAGGUAAAGGCUCACCAAGCCAACGAUCUGUAGCUGGUCUGAGAGGACGACCGGCCACAGUGGGACUGAGACACGGCCCAGACUCCUACGGGAGGCAGCAGUGGGGAAUUUUGAACAGUGGGCGCAAGCCUGAUCCAGCAAUGCCGCGUGCAGGAAGAAGGCCUUCGGGUUGUAAACUGCUUUUGUACGGAACGAAACGGUCCGGGCUAAUACCCUGGGCUAAUGACGGUACCGUAAGAAUAAGCACCGGCUAACUACGUGCCAGCCGCCGCCGUAA
rnacentral:rRNA from 1 species